GAAGAAGAAGAGUGAGUUUUCCGAACGCAGCUCGAGAGAGGGUACUGCACAACAUAACCUAGAAAAAAUAAGAUAUAAAACUGCAGUCAUCGAGUAUUAAGUAUCGACAGUCAUCGUGUAUAUACGUGAGAUAUUAAUUUAAUAAUAAUUAUGUUGAAAAGAAAAGGUGUCGAAGACUGCAUGAAAAAACAUAUCAAAAAGAUUAGAAGCAAAAAUGAUUACCGUUGGAGGCGAUAAUUUCGACAAAGCUAUAAAAAAAAUGAUGUCAGUGAUUAUGACCGAUGAGUUAGCAGGUCAAUGUACUUGGAUUAUUAAAAAAUCUAACAAAACCAAGAUUUCAAAUUAUAAUUUUCCAAACAUAAUAAGUGCUUGCAUUACGCAAA